AGCCUCAGUUCCAGGAGUGAAGCGCGGACCUUUCAACAAGAGCUUUAUUGAUUCUCUUGCUGGGAUCGGGGGAACGCGAUGGAGGCGGCCAAUUGCUCUCUGCGGGUGAAAAGACCUCUGCUGGAUCCCCGCUUCGAGGGCUACAAGCUGUCUCUCGAACCGCUGCCCUGCUACCAGCUGGAGCUUGAUGCAGGUGGGAUCGGCGGCACCCUCUCGCACCCGGUUCCUUCUUGUUGAGGCUGCCAUUGGCGCAACCCUCUGUCACUCCGGCUAGCCAGCCACCUCCUGCCGGUCUGCACCUAGAGCGGCCGUCCACGCGGGGACCCGAGGAUGCCCCCUUUCCUUCCGCGCCUUAGCCGCGGCACUGUGGGCUGGCCUAGGCGUCCGCAGCUCAGGCUCGGAUGUUCUCCGCCCAUACAUCUCUGGCUCCUGCUCUGAAGGUUCAAGUUGUCCUUCCUUCCCAAACCUUACCUUUAGUAAACGUGUUCGCUGAGAAGCCACACCUCCUUGGAAAGUCCCCAACUCCCUUUUUCCUUCUGACGCAGAAUCAUUUCUUGGGAGAGAAAAAUUUCCACAUUCAGUUAGCAGUUUCAAAUACUCGGGUCCUGGAUCAUGCUACAAUUUAUUGAGGGCAAGUGAUUUAGUGCGCUUACUGUUGCUUGCUGCUACUACUUAUUUAUCUGUAACUUCCUAGAGGCUAUUCUCCUUUUUACAACCAUAGGAAUUGUAGUUUUGUUAGGGAAAGUGUCCAGGGAUUUGUGUUUUUAAAUACAUGUCUCUGCAGAUUCUUAUUUUGAUACAAGUUUUCCAUAGGUUGUACUUUGAGAAAUAGUGAUCUAGAGGUGUUAGUCGACGUUUGAGUAUCAAGCGUUACUUAUGUAUGUAUCUAUGUAUCUUUUCUCUAGAUUGUAUCUAGAUUGUAGGGAGUCUAUUCUUGACUGUCCUGGCACUUGCUUUGUAGCCCAGGCUGGCCCAGAACUCACAGAUAACCAGCUGCCUCUGUGCUGGGAUUAAAGACAUAAACAAGUAGACCAACAAAUGCUUGGGUUUUUUGUUUGUUUGUUUGUUUGUUUGUUUUUAAAGUUUCUUAAGUGUAAAAGUAAUUGUUGUGGGCCUGUUUUGUGAUUCAUCGAGAUGAUUACGUGAUUGGUAUAAUCAUGAGUACCUAAUAAAUCAUAAUCCAUUCACUAAUAAACAUCUAAUUACAGUAUGGGCAAGUAGUGAGAGGAACGUGAGCAAAUGUAAUGGUCUAACUGAGUAUGUUUUCUCAACUUGUUUGGAGACCUGGGAAAACUUCCGGUAGGAGUUGAUGAGGGACUUGAGUUGUGAAGGAAAACAGGUAGCUGUUGGCUGGUAUAAGAGGAGAGGUGCUUCCUUCUUUUUGUUCUUUCUCUUGGACGUUUUUUGUUGCUUUUCUUUCUGUGUCAAUAAAUGAUCCGGCCAUGUUUAGUUAGCCAAUUGAUUGGAAACAAAAUUCGAAGGAACAAAACCUAAUGGCUCAAGCCAGCAGGUUCUCCUCACUGCUCAUUCAGUUACGAGUUGGCAGAGGCAGUUCUAGUCAGCUUGAUUUGUCUAGAUCACUUGCCAGAUGAUCUUGACUUGAGUCUUCCAUAUGGCUGGUCACCUUUCAACAGGCUAGCACAGGCUGUUUGCGGAAGUUAAGUCACGGUGUACAUGCUGUUCCAGUGGCUGUCGACACAUUUCCACUUGUUCCAUUGGGCAAAGCAAAUUAAAUAAUCAAGUGAAGAAUUGCUGUUGGAAGACCCUAGCAGAGGGUGGAGAUCUAGAGCGCUAAAAGUUGGGACAGUGAAAGUCUAGGAAAUUAUAUUACUCUCUGUUAAUGUGAAAUCAAGGUACUAAACAGGUAUAAUGCCCAAGUUUCCUUGUGCCCUUGUGUAACUCUCUCUGCUGGCACCCACAGUCAGGAAAUGAGAAUGCUUACUCUCAACCUGAUUUCUCUUUAUUCAGUAGUGCUGCCCCCAUUAAGAUCUAGGUAAUCUCUCAUAGGUUUGCCCAGAGGCUUAUCUAUAAGAUGAUUUGGGAUGGAGCUGGUUAGAUGGCUCAGCAGGUAAGAGCACCCGACUGCUCUUACCUUGCUCUUACCUGCUCUUGAGUUCAAAUCCCAGCAACCACAUGGUGGCUUACAACUAUCCCUAAUGAGAUCUGACUCCCUCUUCUGGAGUGUCGGAAGACAGCUACAGUGACUUACAUAUAAUAAAUAAAUAAAUCUU
rnacentral:lncRNA from 1 species